ACCUGAGAUUUGUACAUAUAUCAGUCAGGCAAAGAGCUGUGGACUUGGAUUAUGAGUGGCCAGAGAACUGGCAGCAUCUGCAAAAGCCAGACUAUGAGAGAGAUGAGAACACAGUCAAGUAACUGAUAGAAGUUCAGUCUGGCUGGCGCAUGUAGGAAUUACAAACAUUUAUUAUGAAAGUAAUACAUGUAUAUUGUAUAAAAUGUGAGGAAAACAGGAAAUGAAAAAGUAUAUAUUCUUGCCAAUUUCAUUCUGCAGAGUUAACUACUGUGAAUUUUUGUUGCAUUUUUAUAAUUCUUUCCAUUUAUAGUCAUAGAACAGCAUGUUUGGUAUUAUCCCAGUCUGGCUUAGACAGAUAUUUUACAGGUAUAAAAUGCAUGUACAUACAUGAAAAUAUAGUAAAAUUGGAAUCAUGCUAACAUGCUGUUACCUGCUUUUUUCAUAUUACAAUAUACUUAAAUAUUUUUUAUGUGCUUGGAUGAAAUUGUAUUUUGAGUAAGUGAAAUAUUUUAAGUUGCACUAUUUCAUUUCUGUGAAUAAAACUUGUUUUUGAAGUUAACCAUCUUGAUUCAUGUUUGCAGGAGGAAUGUUUCUUGAACCUAGAGGCUCCUAUAUCAAGAGUAUGUGGUUAUGACACACCAUUUCCUCACAUUUUUGAACCAUUCUACAUCCCAGACAAAUGGAAGUGUUAUGAUGCCCUUCGAAAAAUGAUCAACUAUUGACCAUAUAGAAAAGCUGGAAGAUUAUGACUAGAUAUGGAAAUAUUUUUUCUGAAUUUUUAAAAUAUUUCCUCAGACUUAUCUCUUUUUGAAAAGAAAGUUUUUAUGAAAUUAACCAUCAUGAGAUUGGCUGAAAAGUUCUACAUUCUAUUAUUGUAUUGUAUUGUAACACACAUGCAUUGAUGAUUUUUAUUAUGAGUUUCAGAUUAACUUUGAAAAAUGUUCCACAUGAUAAUCUUAUAAAUUCUGUUUAAUUAUAUCUGUAAAUAUUGUGUGUAAGAUAGUAUUCAAUGAAGUAAAAGCAGAUUGUC